CUUUUGGUCAAGUUUUCUAAGGUGACGUUAGUAAAAAACGAAAAUCAACCUGUUUUGCUUUCAGAAGUAGCAUUGAAUUGUUGCUUCCCUAUGACACCGCAUGGCAAAUAAGCAAAGAGCCGACUGAGAACCACAUAAUCGACUUGAGGCCCUUGGGGCCAGAAUCGUGUCUGCUAAUAAAACGGCAAGAAAAGCGCAGCAACAACAACAACAACAACAACAACAACAACAUUCAGCAGUAAUAACAACAACAACUACAAUCGGCAACAGGCAACAGACAACCAACAAUAGUCAAUAAAACAUGCGGCAAAUCAUGUUUAUCGCAUUGAUUUAUGCA